CAGAGGGGCAUACAAAUGAAUAAAAAGCAAACUCAAAACACAUCUGGAAAAGCCCAGACUACAAGGCAUAGGAGCAGAACUAGGCUGUUUGACCCAUUGAGGUUCGCAAAAUCUGAAGGGCAGUGCUAAUGGUCAAAGUCCAGAGUUUGGCAAGUCCAGAGGUAGAAACCUUGAAAGGUCAAAGACUAAAGUCGGCGAGUCUGGAGCACCAGCGAUCACUAAUGGGGCUCCAUCCCACAGCUGUAUGUACGCUCUCCCUGUGACUGCUUGGUUCUUCUCCAGAUGCUCCCGAUUCCUCCCACGUUUCAAAGACACACGGCUAGGUUUAGGGUUUGUGAUAUUCGUAACUCGCUGUGCUGGAGCUAGGAGCUUGGUGACACCUGCAGGCUGCUCCCAGCACUAUCCUCCGUUGUUGAUGCAUUCUGCUACACGUUUUGAUGUUUCA